GCCCACUCUCCCUCCCUCUCAGUUCUGCUGGCCUUAUCUCUUCUAUCUUCUAUUUGUCUCCCCACCGCUGCCGUCCAUGGACCUCCCGUCGAUUACGGCGAUGGGGUCCCUGGGCGUGCUGCUGCUGCACCCCAUGAACGGCUACCUGGAGCAGGAGCUGGACCGCGUCUUCCGCUUCUGGGACUCCCCUCCAGACGGGGGCGCCGAGUUCCUCCGUGCGGUCGUCGGCAACGCCGGAUACAACGCCGACGCCGCGCUCAUCGAUGCGUUGCCGUCCCUCGAGAACGUUGCGUCCUCCGUGGGGAUCGACCGCGUCGACCUCACCAAGUGCCGCGAGCGCGGGAUCCAUGCUCACUGACAUGCUCACCGACGCCGUCGGCCUCGUCAUCUCCGCGGUAAGGAAGAUCACGCAUGGUGACCGCUAUGUGCGCGCCGGCUUGUGGAAGGCCAAGAGGGACUACACGGUUAACAUGAUGCAUGAGUAGUCUCGUGACGAAGACCUUUAACUAUGAUGUCAUCUACUCUCAUUUGUGACAUUGGAAAUUGUUUGCGUUUCAUGACCAAGAGGUACAACAACAGCUCUCAGUCUCCCUGCAAUUUCUACCAUCUGAUAUGCAUCAUUCCUAUGCAACCAAUUGGAUUCAUCAAUGUUUCCUAAAAUAUUGUCCUCGUGAGGAGGGAUCCCUUCAUGUGAUUGGGAUGAAGUUGGCAUGUUUGAUAAGCCUGCAAGAAAUUUGGUGUCACCACAUCAGUGCAUAUAUUAAUAUACUCCAUCGGUCCUAAAAUAAGUGUCUCAACUUUAUACUAACUUUAGUGCAAAGUUGUAUUUAAGUUGAGACACUUAUGUUGGGACGGAGGGAGUAUCUCUUAAUAAUAUGCGAGAUAAUAAAAGGAAAUGACUAUUUGAUGGUAGCACACAACCUGCAAAUGAUAUUGUUUGUAGCUGGCUGACACCCGAUUGUCCUGUAGCUGGUGUGCGUGACACAUUGUCAACACUGUUAACGGUGGAAAUAGAUGUCUUUGACUGUUCAUGGGAUUGGUGUCGUGGAUCUAAGUCUGACAGUAGAGUGGGGGGUAGGUAUGGAGAGGCAAGGUCCUAGCUAUGGAGAGGUUGUAAACACAAGAGAUGUACGAGUUCAGGCCCUUCUC